UACACUGCACGACCAGUGCGAUAAGGGAACUCCGAGUGAGAGGGCAUAUAGUCCUCGCUUUUCUGUACCGUAAGGAGGUACAGGAACAAGAGCUGGGCAAGACCGGUGCCAGCCGCCGCGGUAAUACCGGCAGCUCGAGUGAUGGCCGAUAUUAUUGGGCCUAAAGCGUCCGUAGCCGGCCAGGCAAGUCCGUCGGGAAAUCCACCCGCUUAACGGGUGGGCGUCCGGCGGAAACUGCACGGCUUGGGACCGGAAGACUCGAGGGGUACGUCCGGGGUAGGAGUGAAAUCCCGUAAUCCUGAACGGACCACCGAUGGCGAAAGCACCUCGAGAGGACGGAUCCGACAGUGAGGGACGAAAGCUAGGGUCUCGAACCGGAUUAGAUACCCGGG
rnacentral:rRNA from 1 species